rnacentral:rRNA from 1 species
GGAGUUAGCCGGUGCUUCUUCUGUGAGUGAUGUCCUUCCUGCCGGCUAUUAACCCGCAGGCCUUCUUCCUCACUGAAAGUGCUUUACAACCCGAAGGCCUUCUUCACACACGCGGCAUGGCUGGAUCAGGGUUGCCCCCAUUGUCCAAUAUUCCCCACUGCUGCCUCCCGUAGGAGUCUGGGCCGUGUCUCAGUCCCAGUGUGGCUGAUCAUCCUCUCAGACCAGCUACGGAUCGUCGCCUUGGUGAGCCGUUACCUCACCAACCAGCUAAUCCGACAUAGGCUCAUCCGAUAGCGCGAGGCCCGAAGGUCCCCCGCUUUCCCCCGUAGGGCGUAUGCGGUAUUAGCCUGGGUUUCCCCAGGUUAUCCCCCACUACCGGGCAGAUUCCUAUGCAUUACUCACCCGUCCGCCGCUCGCCACCAGGGAGCAAGCUCCCCGUGCUGCCGCUCGACUUGCAUGUGUUAGGCCUGCCGCCAGCGUUCAAUCUGAGCCAGANAGACCUAACGUACCUGACGUCGGGACGUCGGGGCAGGGCCGAACGGACGACGA